AACAACUCUACAGAAGUAGGUAAUGCAAUAGGAUUAGACUUGCUUUCCUUAUCCAACGAUUUGGCAUUAAUCUUCUCUGCACUAUCAUCAUGAAAAUAUGGUGAAACAUAUUGAACACCAACUGGAACUGUAUGUUUGUGAACUUCAGGUCCCAUUUUCUCGGGGUUGAAUUUACUGGUUGCAGCGCCAUCACUAUUCUCCCUCAGCUCCUCCUCAACUGAAUUAACCUUUUCAUCUACCAGCAACUUAUCUUCAACAAAUCCAAUGUCACAGCCAUAACAGCACAACUCAGGAUCAAUCUUCUCCCUGAUGUCACCCUGACACUCACGCUUCUUGAGUAUGUAUUUACUGGUUUCAUCAUCACCACCUUUGCUCUAUUCUUCUUUACCUUGGAGUUUACCUCUCUGUCUACCAGCAACUUAUCUUCAAGAAAUCCAAUGUCACAGCCAUAACAGCACAAUUCAGGAUCAAUCUUCUCCUUAUUGACACCUUGAGGCUCACGCUUCUUGAGUAUGAAUUUACUGGUUUCAGCAUCAUCACCAUUCUCCUUCACCUUAUCCUUCACAGCUUUUCUCUUCUUAUUCUUUUCCUUGGAUUUAAUCUUUCCAUCUACCAGCAAAUUAUCUUCAACAAAUCCAAUGUCAAAGCCAUAAAAACAAGAAUCAGGAUCAAUCUUCUUCCUGUUGUCACCUUCAGGCUCGUGCUUUCUAAGUAGGAAGUUACUAGUUUCGGUAUUACCACCAUUCUUCUGCAGCUUAUUGUCAACCAAUUUCUUCUUCCUCUUUUCCUUGGAUUUAAUUUUUCCAUCUACCAACAACUUAUCUUCAACAAAUCCAAUGGCAAAGUCAUCCUCUUGCAGCUUAUGGUCAACCACUUUCUUCUUCUUCUUGUCCUUGGAUUUAAUCUUUCCAUCUACCAGCAGUGUAUCUUCAACAAAUCCAAUGUCACGGACAGAACAGAACAAUUCUGGAUCAAUCUUCUCCCUGUUGUCAUACUGUGGUUCACGUCUCUUGAGUAUGAAUUUACUGGUUUCAGUGUCAUCACCGUUCUCCCGCUGCUCAUCUUCAACUGUUUUCUUCUUCUUUUGCUUGGAUUUAAUCUUUCCAUCUGACAGCAGCUUAUCUCCAACAAAACGAAUGUCACAACUACAAGAACACAAAUCAGGACCAAUCUUCUGCUCGUUGUCACCUUGAUGAGGCUCACGCUUCUUGGACAUUCUCUUCAUUUCCGAUUCGAUCUUUUCAGUUGCAAUUUCAUGUCCAUUCUCUUCACUGUCAUAACUACAGGAUUCAGCAUCAACCUUCCGCUCAGAGGCACCAAGAGGCUCAUGGUUCUUUGACCUUCUCUUAUGUUUUGAUUUGAUCCUUCCACUCACAGUUUCGUCACCCUUCCCUUCAUUGCCAUAACAACAGAAUCCAGUAUCAACCUUCUUCUGGUCAUCUCCUUGAGGCUCGUGCACAAGCUUCUUCAGCCUUUUUAUAUCCCUUUUGGAUGUGAUCUUUUCAACUGCAAUCUCAUCUCCAUUCUCUUCCCAAUUGACCUGCAUAAAUUUUUCACGUGCCUUCAUAAAAGUAAGGAAAAAGAGGGGGAAAAACACAUUUUUUAAGAAGUCUCCCCCAUUCCAUAGCCGUUUUCAGAUAAACAAAAGUUGUUCCUUUUUAUUUAGCAUUACAAAAGAAGGUAUCGUAUUAAUUAAGGUCACUUACUCCCUUCUUCCCAUAGUCGUUCUUAUUAAAGUUUGGAACUUUUUGAUGCAUUUUAGAUGUCUUCUUCCUCUCGUUACUGCUUUUGUAACUUCCAAUUCCCCUUUCUUCUUUAAUCUUCCCACUUACUUCAAUCACAUGUCCUUCUUUCUGGGCAGGCAGCGCUAAAACGCACUCCAUUCUCCUAAAAUUCUCCUGCUAUAACUAAAGACAAACCAAAGUCUGGGAAAAAAUGUAAGAGUGUUAAGCACAAUUUGCAUCAAAGAAUGCUUAACUAGGUCUAGGGAAAUAUGUGAUGAUCAGUUUCUUUAACUCACUCCACUGGUAAGCCUCUUCAGACUGUGAGGUAGGAUUGGAGAGAGCCAAAAUGAGAGGUUUCUGCAAGUCAGGCAUGACAGAGUAGUUAAUAUGUAAAAUUUAACUUGACAUAAGAAAUUACUAUAAGCUAAAAUCAUUUAAUAUUGAAUACCCAGAACCCAAAAUCACGCAUUCAAUCAAUAUAUCAGAUAGAAAGCAUGUAAUGUUAAAUAGCCAGAACCCAAAAUUUAGUUUUGAAAAAGGAAAAAGGAAGUAACCCUGGAAAAGGGUUUCUGGUGUUGUUGGAUUCAAGGUUGUGUAUUUCUCCAUUCUGCAACUACUCAUAUUCUCAAGAGCAACCAAAACGACCGCGCCACUGUUUCCCUCUUUCUACUCAUAAAAAAUAUUUUAAUGUAUUUUUUGUCAAUCACAUUCAUAAUUCCUUUUUAAUUGUUUUUCAUACAUUACUGUUAAAACGUAAUAUGAAUUAUAUUUUAAUAAUAAUAUACCAGGGCUAAAUUUUAUGUAUUUUUAUUUUUUAUUUUAUUUUAUAUAUGUGUAAAUAAAAUAUAUUUUAUAUUAUAUUAUUUUAAUUUAUUAUAAAUUUAUUUAUAUUUGUAUUUUUUACAUAUCAACAUAUGUACAAAAAACAAUUAUACAACAGACCUUUCAAAUUACUCAUCAGUUUUAAUUUUAUAUCUAUAUCUUAAUAUCUUAACUAUCAUAAUAUAUUUAUUAAAUUAUAAUCAUAUACUAUAAAAAUGUGAUUACGCGAACUGUAUAAUAAUAUAUUUAGAAAACAUAAAUACAUAUGAAUUUUUAAAAAAUUAAAAUAUUACAGGAAAAAUUUAUAUUAAUAUUUAAAAUAUAUAUAUAACUAAAUUUAUGAUAAAUUAAAGAUUAUGUCCUAAGGUCAUAUAUAAUUUUUUUUAUAAAACAAAGGAAAUCUCAAACUAAUGGAUGUAUCUUGCUGAAUCGAGUCUUUCGGUAUUGGGAGAAAAUAUUAAAGUAUGUAUCUUUAAUUGAACCGGAUAUUUUAGGUGUUAGUAUGAAUAUUGGUUAAGAUAUGUGUUUUUGGUCAAACCGAGGCUAUAGGUGUCGGAAAGAAAUACCGAUUAAGGUAUGCGUUCUUAGCCGAACCGAGUUUAUAAGUAUUAGGGGAAUAUUGAUUAAGGUAUGCAUCCUUGGCCGAACCGAAUCUUUAGGUAUCGGGAGGGAAUACCGGUUAAGAUAUGCGUCCUUGGCCAAACUGAGUCUUUAUGUAUCAGGAGAGAAUACCAUUUAAGGUAUGCGUCCUUGGCCGAACCGAGUCUUUAGGUAUCGGGAGGGAAUACCGAUUAAAGUAUGUGUCCUUGGCCGAACUGAAUCUUUAGGUAUCGGGAGGGAAUACCGGUUAAGGUAUGCAUCCUUAGCCAAACUGAGUGUUGCGAAAGAGUGUAAAUUUAAAAUGUACGUUUAGAUACACAUAUUUGAAAAGAAAUGUCUCAUUAAAACCUUCCUGACCGAAAACCUUCCUUAAGGAAAAAACGGUUAGGCGAGGAAAGAAUGUAUAAUUUUAUUGAUUUCAAAUGUAAUAGAAUUUGAGGUGUGUGACAUUUCACGUCAUCAAUACAAUUUUUCCUAAUAACCACUUUAGGUGGUAUGCCCCUCCCAGCUACAACAUCUCGAAUCCCAGUUGGACGAGAACUUGCCAUCUAUCUUCCUAGCCUCACUUCGCAUUCUCCACACAAGAUCUCCCUUCUGAAAGCUUCUCGACUGAACCUUCACAUUGUAUCGCUUGGUCGCCCAGAGCUUGCAUGUGGUUUCGCGAAUCUUGCUUCUGUCUCAGAGCUCUUUUAUGAGGUCGAGUCCAACUGACAAACUCUCAUGAUUAAGGGACAAAUCAAAGAUUUGCCUUCUAAGGGAUGGCUCCCCUACCUCAACCGGAAUCAUGGCCUCGGUGCCAUAGGUCAGGCUAUAGGGUGUCUCCUUCGUCGAAGUUUGGGGCGUGCAACGGUAUGCCCAUAAGACUUCUACCAACUUUUCAGUCCACCGCCCUUUCGUCGUGCCAAGCCACUUCUUUUACUCAUUAAGUAUGACCUUAUUCGCUACUUCGACCUGCCUAUUGGUCUGAGGGUGCUCGACUAAGCUUAUCACUGAGUUGAUGUCAAGGUCUUCGUAAAAAGAUUGAAGCCCUCGGUCAAUGAACUGUCAGCCAUUAUCAGUUAUGAUUGUGCGGGGAACUUCGAACCAGCAUACUAUGCACCUCCACACGAAGUUUUGGACGUUCUUGGUCGAAAUGGAGGCGAGGGGCUCGACCUCGAUCCAUUUGGUGAAGUAAUCCACCCCGACCAAGAGGAAUUUCGUUUGCCCUUUGCUCGGGCUGAAGGGAUCGAUGAUGUUCAUUCCCCAUAUGGCGAACAACCAUGGAGACACCAUGUUGUGGAGUGUCUCGGGCUUGAGAUGGGACAAGGGGCCAUACUCCUGACACUCAGUGCACUUCAUAUAUUUUGAACAGUCGCUCUGGACGGUCGACCAUAAGUAUCCGACCCUGAGCACUUUUGCGACCAUAAUUCUCGCGCCCGAGUGGCUUUCACACCCCCCUCUUGGAUCUCUUGAAGAACACACUCUGCCUGCUCCUUAGUGAUACACUUCAGUAGUGGCAUGGAGUAUCCUCUUCUAUAGAGGUCCUGAUCGAAUCAUGGUAUACCUGGCGCAUUGCUGCCUCAUCGUCUUCUCUUCAUCCGGCUUGGAUAUGCCGAGCUCCAGGUAUUUAAUGAUUGAGGUCAUCCAGGUGUCGUCCUUAGUUAUGGCCAAGAAUUCAGCCUCUCCCACACUGGGACUCCGUAAGCAAAUUUGUACCACAGAUCUAUGGUGGUUCUUCUUCUUAGUCGUGGCCAACCGAGACAAUGCGUCGACCCUCAUGUUAUCCUCUUUGGGGACGUGCUCCACCGUUACCCUUUUGAACCGAGUGAUGUGAUACCUGUUAGAAUAUAUGGCUUUAAACUAGAGGGAGGGUGAAUUAUUUAAAGAGGGUUUUCGAAAACUUUUAAGCCUUGAAUGAGAUUACUUCGAGAAUAUCUUGAUUAAGGAAUCAAUUUUUCAAAACACAAAGCUAAAAGUACAGCACCAGCAAAACAAUCGGUUGUUUCACAGAAACAAUCGGUUGUUUAUACCAAUUAGCAAAUAUUAAAACUGAAUUUAAAGAGUUAAGGGAUAGAGAAAAUGUACACAGAGAUUUAUACUAGUUCACUCUAAACCCAGAGCUACAUCCAAUCUUCUCAAAAGCCACUGAGGAAUUCCAGUAAGCAAUCAAACCUAUAUCACUUACAACACAACCAAGAAAGUGACCUUGAUCCCCUCAAGAAACACACUUCUCUUGGCCAACACACCAACACUAAGAAUGCUAAUCUUGAUCCCCUCAAGAACACACAACACUUCUCAGCAAACACACAAAGAUUCUUGUUCAACAGAUACAAGGAUUACACUUGUUACAGAAGCAAAUCUGAAAUUAAUACAAGCAGAAAUCCUAUCUCACACACUUUGAUCAAUCUCAAUUUCUAAGCAAUCUCAACUUUUCAAAAUCUCAAAAACUUGUGUUCAUUGAAAAAUUCAAAUCCAUUUUUCUAAAUAUAUUCAAAUUUGUUGUUUGUUAUCAAAUCUUAACAAACUAUUCAUUGCAUUUAAAGAUUGGUCAAAGCAUUAAAAACUAUAGCGUAAUCAGUUAGAAAAUCAUUUAAAGCUCAGUCAAAGCAAAAACCAUUUUUAUGUUAUGGUACCAAAACAAACAAUCGGCUGUUUCCUCAAAUCAAUCGGUUGUUUUGGUUUUAACAGCUCAACCAUUUGAAAAACAAUUUUCAAUUUUUUCUAAAAACACCUAAGAAUAAAACAAUCGGUUGUUUCGACAAAACAACAGGUUGUUUUUCACUUAGCUUGAAAAACACUUUUUCUUUUAAAAAGAUUGAGAAUGCCUAUGCUUUGGAUGCAAUCAAGAGUGGAUUACAAAACUCAAUCUACCCCAGAUCCUAUCUAAGACAACUCAGCAACAGCAAGCACAACCUAGCCUUCAACAUCCUUCAAAGGGUUUUGGAUUCUUCAAAGCUUGAACACCACUUGGUUCAACAAUGUCCCCCUAUUUGAUGAAGACAAAUCCCCGGUGCUUGUGUUUGACUUGAUUGAAUCUGAAGCAGUACCUGCAAAAAUAGCAUAUCUACCAUCCAAUGCUUCUUACAACAGCAGGUUAGUUUUUCACACAUUUAAAACAUAAAACCUGAUAAACAAUCGGUUGUUUACUCGAAACAAUCGGUUGUUUCUAUCAGCAACAGCAGAAACCAGUUUUAUAUAAGAGAUUAAAUAGAUUUAAACAGAUUCAGAUAAGGAUACACAUGACCAAAUAAUUCUCCCCAUAUUUGUCUUCACAAAUAGACUUUAACAUGUAAUUAAAACAGAUUUAAGAGAGAUUAUUAAGAUCAAGGAUACCUAACUCAUUUCUUAGAAAGAAGAACCUUUCCUUUGGUAGUGGUUUAGUGAAGAUGUCAGCUAACUGCAGUUUGGUCUCCACAAACUUCACUUCACAGUUCCAUUGUUUACAUGAUCCCUAAUGAAAUGAUGUCUUAUCUCAAUAUGUUUGGUCCUUGAGUGCUGAAUUUGAUUUUUGGUAAAGAGAGUCUUGUCUACCAUUCCCCUUUCAUAACCAUGUGAUCUUGCCGGUUCACUUAGCGCUAAAGCGUUGCCUCGUCACGAACUCCUCACUAGCUUGACUCCACGUGCCCUUCAAGUCCCCACCACAAAAAGCUUCUCUGAGAACCUGAAAACACAAGGUGGCGCCUCUGCGGCCGGUGGCGCUCCGACGCUCAAGUCAGUAACAAGAACACCCAAAACUGAGAGAAAAUAUGCUCUGUAGGACCGUACUAAAGGCACACAACCCUAGCAACGAGCCGUAAUGAAAACGUACCCCUGCAAAUUCUGUUAAGGUUACCUUUAUAGCUAGGUUUCUUCUCUCUCCAGGCCGUUAUGCUUUUGGACACGUGGCUCGCAUCCAACCCUGCACGUGUUGCCAUCUGGGCUGGGAUAGCAGGUAGCGCCCAGCCCUACACGUGUCAUCAUCUGAGUCAGGAUAACUCGAGCGUCAUUUCUCUAUUGCUCCCAACCCUACACGUGUCAUCAUCUGGGUUGGAGUAACUGGUAACAUCCAACCCUACACGUGUCGUCAUCUGGGUUGGGGCAACUUGAAUGUUAUUUAGGAGUAAGCUAGAACACGACACGCGGCUAAGUCCUCUACUCAAGGAGUAAGCUAGCACGCGACAUGCUCUGGAACACCACCUGACAAGGCGAGUAUCGGGUGCAGCAAAGUGCACCAUCUCUGUGAUAUCGCUUGUCGCUUAAUGGCACCCUCCUUAUCGCAGCGCCAUGCAUGUUCUGGCUGAGGAAACCUUCCCUUCAACGAAUGUCCACUCUGGGAAUCCUGUCGCUAAUAGGCAAGAUGUUCCCCUUCAACCCACACACCCUUCACGCCCCAUGCUGGCGCAAUAAUCACCUUACUGAAAUUAUACGCUUGAACUUACUCUUCCGAGCCUUCAAUAGCUUCUACUGAGUUUACUGGCGAUGUGCUCCCCGCGGCGGUGUCAGACCACCUGAUCUCCCAUUGCCAAACACGUCGAUGACAGAUAAACCCGGCGACAACCAACCAUGUUCACUACAGAACGCCAGUUCCAUGAACCGGCGACUACGCUCACCUCUGAACCAUCCAUCUUUCUCUUGCCCACGUGUUCCGCUGAGCACGCCCCACAUAGUCACGGCAAGACACGUCAUCACACCCGAUGACCUGGUCGGUACACAAGCCCCCAGUCUCGAGCUGCGACUUGUUCAGCGAGGAGACUAAAGAGGUUUAAAUCCGGCGGCUUUCGUGGCUUUGUGCGUUGGCGCUAACACUGUUCACUGACUUGACAUUUCACCAACUUCUUCGAUCAUUCGACACGUGGACUCAUCAACGACCAUUAUUCACUGUCGUUUGCGCUUCUCGCAACGUUCGAAACUCUUCGAAACUCUUAAACACUUCGCGCACAUUUCACUGUUUCAUUAUCUUCUACCUCUCUUCAUACUCUCGAAACGCUCCAGCGAACGCUCCGAUUCUCCCAACCUCCAUCUUUCUGACUACUCUUCUGAUCAUCUAAAGGUAACUUUUUUAUCACUUCUACUGAUAUUUGCUGCAUUUUAAUCGGUUUGCAUAAUCCAUUACCUGUCUGGAGCAUACGUUGUGGGAUGUUUCUCUGCUUUGUUUUUCUCUUCUCUGCGUUUAGGGUUUCUGAACCUUUCUCUGCGAGCCCCUCUUGUUCUUCCCUCUUCUCUUCUUCUGUCGAGUCUUUCUGUUUACGAACACUCAUACCUUUUCGUCUUCUUGCAGCUUCCUCGAUGACUCUUUCAAAAAUCACACCAAACCCUCCUCCAUCUCCUCGCAACCCUCCGGCGAAAACCCGUAGGGCAAACCCCUCUUCUUCCCGCGACCCCCCAAGGGGUCCCAACGUCCCUUCCGACCGAGUCGCGAGACCCGCGUCCUCUCAUCCUAGCCAACCACAACCAAACCCACCACAAACCAGCGCGAUGGCGAAGCCUCUUCCAGAUUACAAACGGCUAUACCCGUGGGCUUCCGCGACCUUGCUGGGUGAGACCUCAUCCGUCAACUCCGAUCGCGACCUCCUUCGCCUCAAGAAAGGUGAUAAGGAACACCUAUCUUUCAGUAAAGAGCACGAUGACAAAGUAAUUGUGCGGCCUUGUCCUCCCGGUGAGCCAAUCUGCAUCGACAAUCAGGGGAGCAACAACGCCUCCUUCUGCUUCAUAUACACUACUAUGUUCAAGAAGCUCAAGCUCCGGUUUCCCUUCACACGCUUUGAGAGGGAGCUCCUGACCGAGCUCGACAUAGCCCCCGCCCAGCUCCAUCCCAACAGCUGGGCAUUCGUACGGGCUUACCAAAUUAUCUGCGCGCAUUUGGGACACCCGACCUCUGUGGAUGUAUUCCUCUACUUGUUCGAGGCGAAGAACCCGGGCGAUCAUUUGCGGGUCAGCCUAAAUGGGGUCGCUGGGAGGUUUAUCCUCUCCAUCUUCCAACAAUCCUAUAAGGAUUGGAAGGGGAAGUUUGUACGCGUAUGCUGCAGCGAUCAAGACCCUUCCCUCCUUGACGGGUUCCCCUUGUACUGGGUGAACAAGGGAAGGAAAGGCUAGGGAGCCAGAAAAAAUGGGGGAGCUCGACAAGGACUUGUGCAGUUUCUGGAAGAAAGUCGCUUCUUCCAACGUGACCCUGUCGACUGCCUCCAUCGUCUCCUUCGAGUUCUAUGAAAGCCAAUUGGACUUUCACAUAGGUCUGCCCUUAAGCCUUCUAGCUCCCUUAGCUUGACUUUGCAUUUUCUCGUUUCUACUCUGAUGUUGUUGUUCUCAUUUCGCAUAUGGUUUCAACCUCCUCCAUGCAUUAUUACUUGUCGAUUUUCUGUGUUGGUUGAUAACUGUUGGCCCCCCUUUGCAGAUACAAUGUUGGGACAAGACAGGAUGGUUGAGCUACGCGCCAUAGCCAGGUCCCAUAAGCUUGCGACGGGCUCUCAAACGAUCCCGAACUCUGUUGCGGAGAUCGCCGCCGCCCAGGGCCAAUCCCCACCAGUUGGUCCACCCGCUGCUGCCGCUCUUCCAGCCCCCCAACGCAAGAAACUACCUCUCAAGAAGGCCAAAAGGAAAGCCCCCAGGGUAGUAUCUGACGAAGAGGCGGAUGAAAGCACCGAGGACGGGCUAAUCUGCAAAAGGAAAAGGGUGGCGGUGACCGAGCCCCCAGCAAUUGAGAGCGCCGCCCCAAACUUCAUCGAGAACCCCCCAGCGCCUCCACACCAUUCGAGUCCGCUGGGGACGUUCUCGUUUCAAACGCCUCAGUUGCUGAAGGCGCUCCUAAGCAACUUGCUGAUACGCAAGCCUCCCACAAGCCGCCGAGAAGCUGCCUGCCUCACCACCACGUCUCGAAGCUCCCCCCGCCGUCCAACCUUGUGAGGGUGGUGGUGAGCACCAACCUCCGCCUCCUCCAACAACCUCAGGCCUCCCAGCCGCUCUUCAAGAAGCAUUGAAGUCCUUCACCGUGCGCCUAAGUGCCAUGGUUGACGAUUGUCUUCCCCAAAUCGUCAGCGAAGGGCUCAAGGACUCUUUGGAGAAGUUUGAGCUCGAUAACCGGAUCAACCAAGAGGUGGUAAGCACCGCGAAAGCUGCAGCCGAGAAGACCAAAUGCGACAUGCUGAUGCAAGGCCUCGAGUUUUCGCGGGUCGAAAAUGCCCUCAAGGACGAGCUCCAGAGCGUGCGCAAAGACAGCAAAGAACUGCGCAAGAAACUUCAUGAUAAACUCCAGGACGCCGUCGAGCUGGAGAGCAGGAUCGUCCCUCUGAGGGAGAAAAUUGCCACGCUGGAGGAGGCAAAGAAAACUGACGCCGAAAAGAUGGCCAACUUAGAGAAGAGAUCCAUCGAGAGGGAGACUCUUCUGGGAAAGGUUGAGCAAGAUCGGGAUAAGGCUUCCCAAGAACUUAGCGAAACUGCUACUGAGCUUGCCCGAGUUCGCGAGGAGAACAGCGGGCUCAAGAAGAAGGCCGACGAGCUCGAGCUUGAAGUCACCCAGGUUCGUGAAGAGAACAGUGGGUUCAAGACGAAGAUCGAUGAGCUUCAGCUUGAGGCUGCCCAAGUUCUCACUUCCGGCUUUGGCACUGCUUUGGAGCAGUUUGCUUGCAAAUAUCCCGACCUUGAUCUCUCCUAGUUCUCAGUAUACAACGAGGUGGUGGACGGCAAGAUCGUACCCCCAAUUGAUUUAUCGCCUUGAAAACUCUUAUGUUUUACCUUGGUCUGUAAUAAUUUUCAUUCUGUUUGAACUGUUUGGUACUCAUGUGCACAUAUAUAUAUAUAUAUAUAUAUAUAUAUAUAUAUAUAUAUAAUCUUCUGACUUAUCUGUCGUGCAAUCAACUGGUUUAGCUGUAUGGUUUUUUCUCAACUCAACGUGCCUUGUACCAACCGGUACUUAACUUUCUGCAACACACCUUAACUUAAACAAACGGUUAAUUUGAACAAUAACGUUUAACACGAAAUCACUUACUCGGCAAAAAGGGCUUAGGUCGAUCUUAGCAUCUGAAACCUCUCUUGCCCGAUUUACUAAGGGCCAAAGGCAUUUCUACGUCGUCGCCCAGAACUUUGCUGACGCGGCCCUUGCCAUGCGAUUCUCUUUCUGUUUCAAUCUCACACAAUGGGCUUCUGGCGACAUCACCUUCUUCUUAACUGGGAACGUCCCCUGCGGGACCGCCCUCUGAUUCCAUCUUUGCAUAGCUGGGAGGAGAGUCGUCUCUUGGAUCGCUCUCUACCUUCUCCGAGCCUUUAUCCUGAGAUAACUUACAUCAUUGUUCCCUCACCUGGGGGUAGAGUCGCCUUUCAGAUCCUUCUCUACCUCCCUGAGUUUUAGAACAAUGAUUUGGGUGGUGGGGUGCCCUCUGCGAACCUCCCCAGCCGCCCUUAAACUUCUAAUUUAACUGGUCUUACUAGGUCAAUAUUGGUGUCUCACUUAAGGGGGAAAAAGUUCUUCUCCAACCCUCCUUUCCCAUACUUAAGAUUGUUGACACCCCUGACUUUUCAGUUUCAUCUUGCCUGAACUCACUUGAGGGUGAGAAGGACCUUUCCUGAUGCCUCAACUUGCCCAGGGCCUACAUCUCCUCCUCCCCCGGAUGCAUUGAGGGCUUUCAACUUGCCUCAAUUUGCUCACGCAAAGAGGUCUUGUGAUCUGUUCUUGCCUGUGCUCGCUCAUGGCGAGGAGGACUUCAAUCUUUUCUCGCCUACGCUCGCUCGAGGCGAGGAGGUCUUUCAAAUCUCUUUCUCGCCUACACUCGCCCAAGGCGAGGAGGUCUUUUGCAUCUCUUUCUCGCCUGCACUCGCUCGAGGCGAGGAGGUCUUUUAAAUCUCUUUCUCGCCUGCACUCGCUCGAGGCGAGGAGGUCUUUUAAAUCUCUUUCUCGCCUGGUGGCGGUCAGAAAAACUUCAAUACUUGUGCCUCCGAUCGCCGAGUGGCGGUGAGGACUUAAAAACUUUGUUUUUGUGCCUCCGAUCACCAUAUGGCGAUGAGGACUUAAAACUUAAACUUGCACCUCCGGUCGCCGAGUGGCGAUGAGGGUUUAAAAUUUCAUGUUUCGAAGGUUUUGUACUGGAUGCAUGCGAUUUGGAUUUACCAUUUUUAAUCUUACCCCACAAACUUGAAAAACAAACAGCAUGCAAACUUAAUAACUGAGAAACUUUGAUAAACUUUGAAACCUUCUUUAUUGGGUGGCCUCAUUAAAAACCCUUCUCAGGGAAAAAAGAGUGCCCCCUUGAAAAAUUGUUUAAACUGAUACAUCUUAAACUGUUGGAGUUUAUUGCUACUUACAAUGCCUUAACUGUAGCAAAACUUGAGGUGGGUGGCGUUCCAAGUGCGAGGAAUCGCCCCUCCCUCCAGCGUCUCCAAGCGGUAGGCGCCGUUCCUGAGUGCUUCGGUUAUUCUGAAUGGACCUGUCCACUUGGGUGACAAUUUGUUUUUCAUCUCGUACUGGUGGGCCUUCCUCAUCACCAGGUCGCCAUCUCUGAACUGCCUCGGCUUUACCUUGGAGUUGUAUUUACGCUCGACCCUUCUCUUUACUGCUUCGGCCUUCACCCGCGCUUCCUCCCUGACCUCGUCCAGCAAAUCCAAGUUCAUCCUCCUUUCUUCGUUCGAAUCUUCCGACACGAAGUUCAGGAAUCUCGGCGAGCUUUCCUGGAUUUCAAUUGGAAUCAUCGCAUCGCAUCCAUACACUAAGCUAAACGGGGUUUCGUGGGUUCCCGAUUGCUCAGUAGUAUGAUAUGCCCACACUAUGCGGGGAACCUCCUCAACCCAAGACCCCUUGGCCUUUUCCAACCUCCUCUUCAAUCCUCUCAGCAGAACCCGAUUAGCGGAUUCAACUUACCCAUUCGUUUGCGGGUGUUCCACGGAAGCAAACACCUGUUGUGUCCCGAUGUCCUCGCACAGCUUCUUCAACAGGCGGCUUGCGAAUUGGGUCCCAUUGUCUGAUACUAGACGCUUGGGCACGCCAAAACGACACACAAUAUUCUUCCAUACGAAACUUUGGAUUUUGUGCACGGUGAUUUGGGCUACUGGUUCUACUUCAAUCCAUUUCGUGAAGUAUUCGAUCGCCACAACCAAAUACUUCAUUUGUCUGAUUGCCAACGGGAAGGGUCCCAGGAUGUCGAUUCCCCACGUGUGAAACGGCCAAGGGCUGUAGAUUGACUUUAACUCUUCUGGGGGCGCCUUGUGCCAGUCGGCGUGCUGCUGGCAUUGCUUGCAACACUGGGCAUAUCUCUUGCAAUCUUCCCUCAUUGUGGGCCAGUAGUAGCCUGCACGGAUAGCCCUUGUUGCCAGAGAUCGACCUCCAAUGUGGCUCCCGCAAAUCCCCUCAUGGAGCUCAGCCAUAAUCCUCGUGCACUUCUCUCCAUGUACGCAUACAAGAAGAGGGUGUGUAAAUCCGAACCUGUACAGCUCGCCGUCAAUAAGGGUAAACUUGCUGGAGCUCUUCUUUAUCUUUUUGGCCUCUGUUGAGUCCACUGGGAGCACGCCAUCCGCUAAAUAGCGUUGGUAUGGCGUUAUCCACGUGUCUGGUUCGUGGAUAGCGCAAACUUGCAUCGUUCUCACCUCUUCCGCUGGGCGCGCUCUGACCCUCGGCGUCCUCAAAGUUUCAUGCGUUAGGGAUCUAUGGCUUCUCGUCGUUCUUUCCGUCGAUCUGCAAACAUGAAGAACCUGGUGGUCUGCCACGAAUGCUCGAGGCGCUUUCAAGGUUUCUUGAAUGACAGUCCUCUGUCUGCCCCCCUUGCCCGAACUGGCGAGCUUGGCUAGCAAGUCAGCUCGGGCAUUCUGCUCUCCUGGCACGUGCACCACUUCAAAUAAAGCGAAAGAUCUCCUUAGCUCUUGCACGUACUCCAGGUAGGCUCCCAUCUGCGGGUCCUUGGCUUGGAACUCGCCAGUUACCUGUCCAAUGACCAGCAGUGAGUCGCUUUUGGCUAUUAGCACCUUCGCUCCCAUCUCCUUUGCCAACAGGAUACCGGCGAUCAAGGCCUCAUAUUCUGCUUGAUUGUUGCUUGCUUUGAAAGCAAACCUCAGUGAUUGCUCUAUCAACACACCGUUGGGUCCCUCCAAAAUGACCCCAGCCCCGCUGCCCAGCUGGUUGGACGACCCAUCCACCAAGAGUACCCAACGAAAGUCAUCCUUAGCGUUUUGCGCCGUUUCAGAAGACAUCUCGACCACGAAAUCAGUGAAAAUUUGCCCCUUGAUCGAUCCCCGGGGCUCAUAUUUGAUGUCGAAUUCCGACAGCUCAACCGCCCACUUCACCAUCCUUCCAGCUACAUCUGGUUUCUUCAAAACCUUCUGGAUUGGCAAGUCAGUCAUUACCAACACCGUAAAGCUCUGGAAGUAAUGGCGCAGCCUUCUCGCCGAAAAUACAACCGCUAACGCUGCCUUUUCUAAGGCCUGGUACCUCACUUCUGGGCCUUGCAACACCUUGUUAACAAAAUAUAUGGGUUUUUGGACCUGAUCUUGAUCCUGGACGAGCACUGCGCUUAUUGCCCUCUCAGUUAUGGCGAAAUACAGCCUGAGUGGCAUUGUGGCUUGGGGUUUGCAUAGAACUGGUGGGCUUGCCAAAUAUUCUUUGAGCUUUAUGAAGGCCUUCUCACACUCCUUCGUCCAGACAAACCUGUUGUUCCUCUUCAAACACUGGAAGUAUGGGUGGCUCUUCUCUCCACUUGCCGAUACGAAUCGGGACAGAGCGGUCAUCCGCCCCGUGAGCUGCUGCACCUCCUUCACAGUGGCAGGGCUUCUCAUCACCAAAAUGGCGGCACACUUCUCGGGGUUAGCCUCGAUUCCCCUCUUCGACAGGAGAAAUCCCAGAAAUUUCCCUGCCUCUACACCAAAAACACACUUCUCAGGAUUCAGUUUCACCUUGUACCUGGCUAUUGUGAUGAACAACUCUUCCAAAUCGGCGACGUGCUUGUUUUUCUCCAGGGACGUCACGACCAUGUCGUCAACGUAUGCCUGCACAUUCCUUCUGAGCAUAGGUGCGAGCACCUUAUCCAUCAGCCUUUGGUACGUGGCCCCCACAUUCUUCAACCCGAAGGGCAUCACCUUGUAGCAGUAGCAUGACCUUUCCGUCAUGAAGGCAGUUUUCUCUUCGUCCAUGGGGUGCAUUUUGAUUUGGUUGUACCCUGAGAAGGCAUCCAGAAAACUGAGCAGCUUGCACCCUGAUGCACUGUCUACCAGGACGUCUAUGCUCCGCAAAGGAUAAGAAUCCUUAGGACAGGCCUUGUUCAGGUCUGUGAAGUCGACACACAUCCGCCAUUUUCCGCUACUCUUCUUGACCAGAACGACAUUGGUGAGCCAUUCUGGAUAUUGGAUCUCCCUGAUGUGGGCUGCUGCAAGGAGUUUUUGUGUUUCGUCUUUGAUCGCCUGUCUUUUCUCCUCGUUGAACUUUCUCCUUCUUUGGCGGAUGGGCCUGACUUGGGGGUCCAUUGCUAAGCGAUGGCACAAGAAAUCGGGGUCGAUCCCCAGCAUAUCUGAAGCAACCCAUGCAAAUGCAUCCAGGUGUCUACUUAUCACCUUGGCGAUUUGGUCUUGCGUCUCGCUGUCCAAGGUUCUCCCCAGCUUAAACAUUUUGUCGUUGAUCUCCUUCUCGAGCCAUUCCUCCACUGGCUGAGGCUUCUUUUCAUUGGCGAUCAGCGCCCUCGCGAUACCUGUUUCCCUGGCGGUCUCUGAGCAGUUUCUUUCUCCCUCCAACCGAGCGGCGCUCUCGGUCCUCGCCUCCAUAUCUUCCAUAGGCACAUCGCCCUCGGCGGCCACCUCCAACGUCGUAUCCGAAACUCGCCGGGUUUCCUGCGCAGAUCCCACACCAGGGGGAGGCGUUGUGGUUACGUGGCACACAUACCUCUUGUUCUUGAGGUUGUUCUCGUAACACUUCUUCGCCUCCUUUUGGUCAGAGCAAAUGGUGAAGAUCAAACCUUCCAUAGACGGUAGUUUGACCUUCAUGUGCCUUGUCGAAGGCACAACUCCCGUUCUGUUGAGCGUUGGCCUUCCCAACAGUAUGUUGUAUGCCGACGGGGCGUUUACGACAAGAUACCUGAUCUUCUUUGUUCGUGAGGCCAAACCAUUUGUGAAGGUUGUCCUCAACUCGAUAUACCCCCUUACCUCCACUUGAUCGCCGACGAAACCGUACAAGCAGUCCCCAUAUGGCCUCAGUUGAUCGGGGGACAGUUGUAGCUUUUCAAAAGUCGGCCAAAACAUUACAUCUGCCGAACUUCCCUGGUCGACCAGCACCCGGUGGACGGUCCUUCCCGCCGUGACUAGAGAGAUCACAAUAGGGUCGUUGUCGUGAGGUACAACGUCCCUAAGGUCCCCUUUGGUGAACAUGAUGUCCACGUCAGGUGAGUGAUCCUCAAAAACUUCCACUGACAUCAUUGACCUCGCGUACUUCUUGCGUUGCGACGAGCCGGAGAAUCCACCAGCUAUGGUGUGGAUCUCACCGUGAAUGGGCACCUCGUGCUGCUGUCCUUCGCUGCUCGCCGGUGUGGACCCUGACGCUUGGCCCGCUUGCUUCUCCAACAAGUAAUCUUUCAAAAAACCACAUUUGACCAACUCGGCGAGUUGGUGUCUCAAAGCCAAACACGAGUUGAUAGAGUGGCCAAAGCUCUUGUGGAACUCGCACCACGCGUUUGGUUUUGGUCCCAAGACCUUUUCCGUCGUCUUCUCAGGCACCUUGAGCCUGGCAGCAAUGUUUGGGAUGGCAAUCAGAUCGGCCAACCCCAUCACAAACUCGUACCUUAGAGGGCGAUUAGCCUCCCUGGGCCGCCCUGGCCCCUUGUUCUUAUUCUUCUUAGGGUCAUAAGGAUGGCGCAUCCUUUGGUUCCUCUUCCCCGCUGCCGCCUCCAUUACCCUCUGCAGCUGGACCCUUGCUUGGGCGCGCGAUUUAGCUGGGGCCACGUUUCCCCUCUUCUCGGAGACUUCGCUCUCGGCGACGAUGUGAGCCACAGCACGUCGGCGAAUUUCAGCAAACGUGGCGGGGUGACUCCUGAUAAGCGACUCACUAAAGGGCCCAGGUAACACACCCUUUUUGAAAGCGUGUACAAACAUCUCUUCGUCUUUCCCUGGCAAACGGACUAUCUGAGCUCCGAAUCUGUUCAGGAAAUCCUUCAAGGACUCCCCUUGGUACUGCCUCACGUCAAACAGGUCGUAAGACACCAAUGGUGGUGCUUUGUUCACUAUAUACUGCUCGACAAACAUCUUGGAAAACUGUUGAAACGUGGUAAUGUGGCCAGUAGGUAUACUGACGAACCAAUCCAACGCUGUUCCACUAAGGGUGCUCAUGAACACUGAUGGAGAUCAAGCUCAAGUGGACAUGGAGGCCAAUCAACAAGAUCAAGAAGAGGUAGAGGCGCAAAUAGAGGACGCCCAUGGAGGUCAAAGCCCACCUCAAAGGCUUACAAGAAGCAUGUUCAAAGCUUUAGGAGCUAGGGGACAAUUAUUUUCUCUUUUUGUAAUUUCUUUGGUUGAAGGUGCUUAGAGGGAAACAUUAGAAACCUCUAUUGUUAUAGCAUCUUUUAGUCUUUAGUUAGGAACUUUAGGAGGGGUGUGUGUUAGUAGAUAGGUGUAGAAGUAAAUAAGGAGGUGCCAAAGUGAGAGAAGGGAUCACACCUUCCUCAUGUUUUGUUUAGGCGCCGGUUGUAGCUUCUUUUAGGAGGGAAUUUUGAAUUCUCUUAGUUUGAUUUUUCAGCACCUUAGGCUAUAAAUAUAGGUGCUGCCCUUGUACAUUUCAGAUUUGAAUUUUAAUUAGAGAAACUAUACUCAAAUUUUGAGAGAGCAUUGGAGAGCUUUGUGCCUUCUUCUCUAGUCUUAUCUUGAUGGUUCCAUGGUUACCUCAAGUGGCGGCUUGCACACUCAUUUAGGAGUCUCCAUCCUUCUAGUGGCGUGAUCAUCCAACCAUACAUCCAUCUUCAUGAGCUUUCUCCUCUCCUUCCUUCCUUCUCUUUUGAUAUUCAUGUUUUGAGCUUUUGUUCUUGUUUUGGUUCGGCUAUUUCUGUUUCCAGCAGCUGUUCUUCUUCUUUUCCAUGUUUUGGUUCGGUGCUUUUAUAAUUCCAGCACUCCUUUUCAGUUUUCUUGCCUUUUAAUUCAUUUUAAUCGGUUCAAUUCUGUUCUUAUUCAUUUCUAUUCGGUGCAUUUGCUUUUUCCUCUCUUUUUGUUAGUUCAAUUUGACAAUAUGUGGAACUUCCAUAUGAGUUUGGAUUUGGUGCUAGUUUUGGUGAGUUCUUGACUUAGAACAUUGAUCCAAUUCUAAGAAAAAGUGUCUAACUAUUGUCCAACUCAAGUUGAUUCCUAAGAAUGUCAAGAAUCAUUCUCUUCUUUGCUAUUGGAAUCACAUCAAACACCUUACAGUAAACCGUGUCAGACCCUCCCGAGAGCAUCAUCUGAGUAUGAAACGCCGUGAGAUGGGCCUCAGGGUCCUCCACCCCAGUGAAAGACGCUUUCACCGCCACAGUGUUAGCCGGGACCACCGAGUCCAUGAUCUCUUGGGAGAAUGGCAUGGGGAAGCUGUGCGGUGGGGAUGGGGGUGCAGAUCUGUCCCCGACCGCACGCUCCUGAAGGGCUUUGCGCAGCUCCUCGUUAAUCCUGUUGAGCUCUUCAUUCCUAGCUUGCGAGGCCACCAAUGCCUCGUGCAUCCUUUCCUGUUCAGAACGUGACGCGGCCACGUUCUCCUGCAGCGUCCUCAUCAUGUCCAUCACUUGUGUCAUGGACACAUCAUCUUCAUCUGUCGACGACGCGACUGAACUAGACUGCGUUGUCCUCAUCUUUUCUCAGCAAACUUAGCAACUCAAAGAAACUCCAAACUAGACAUUUACAAAAUAUAAUGUAUUGGUGUAUGAAAACCACUAAAAGUAGUUAUGGAAGUUCACCUUAUAGUUCUGUAGUAACUAUCCAUGUUACUCAAUGCUCGGCCUUAACUAUGAGGUAACUGCCUAGUCAACUAAAUAAUAGGGUACACGUAAGGAAGAACGUGGCCUAAACGGUUACUACAAAGUAGCCACUUUAUUUUGGUCCCUACUUAAGUCCAUGAGCCUAUAAAUACUUCAAUUCUCUCACAAAGUAGAUCUAUCUUAUUAUUCGUUGACUUAUACACAAAAUCAUACAUUCUUACUAACUUGAGUAUUAGAGAUUCUUCCAUAGGUACACCACCACUCAUUGGAACAACUAGAAAAUUCUUGUCAUACUCAUAUACUAUACACCUUGAAAUAAGGAUAACUCAUCAUACAAGAACAAUUUCCAUUUGGGAUAUGGAGGAAUGUGCAUGAUGCAAAAAGGGUAUUCUAGAUAUGCAUGCACUUGGGAGUUCAAUAUUGAUGCAAAGACUAUGAAGCUAUGUGGAGGCACCGCUUCCACACUUCACAUUCAGCUUUUUUUCCAAAAUUGAAAAUGUUGGUUGCACAUGUCCCACGGUGCCAGCCUUUUUGUUUUUAAGUUUUUCAAUCUAAAUUUAAAUAUGAUUUAUUAUAAUUAUAUAAUAUUAUGUAUUUUUAUAAUUUAAAUAUUAUAUUUUUAUUUUAUUUUUCAAUUGAAAACUUAAAAUUAUAUUUUUAUAAUUUAAAUCUAUUUUAAAAUAGUAAAUUAAAGUUUUAUUAAAGAUUAAUAUUUUAAAAAGAUAAACUAAACUUUUACUUAAGAAAUAAUCAUAGGAACACCAUUUGCUUUGUUUUUUUACGCUUUUAGUUUAUUCCAAUUGGCCAAUUUUGUUGGGCUCUACGUGCCAAUUUUGCUGUAAGUUGCAAUCUUUCUUUGCCAAAUUACCUCAUAAAUCCAGCAACUUCUUCCUGCAUCACAUCAAUUUAAACUUGCACCCUAUUGUUUUUCAAAUUUUCUAAAAUUACUCUUUUUUUCGAAUUUGAAAAUCCAAAAAUCAAAAUCUCACUCUAAAAUAAAUCAAAAAUGUAAAAAAUACAUUAUGAAAAAAAAUUAAAAUUUAGAAAUAUGUUCCAAAAAUCCAAAUAAAAAAGUAUUCUAAAAAAGGAUUCUGACCACCAAAACUUUGCCCAUAAAUCCAUGUGCAAGCUAGUACUGGUCGGGUCCUAUUGUAUGCCAACCUUAUUUAUGUGGGGGCCACUCAUUUUUUUUUCAUAUUGGUUUAAUUUUUACACCUCGGAUGUGUUCCAAAAUUAUGGGCCUUUGUUUCUAGCCCCUCUUUUUGUUAUUGGUAAGUUCUUUCUACACCCAAUCAUUUUUAACCUCCACCCAACAUAAUUUUUUUGUUUCCAAAAAUGCCCUUCACAACGGAAAUGAAAAUCCAAAACUGAAAAUAAUACAUUCUGGAAAAAUAUAUCUAGAAUUCAAAAUUCAAAAUCUCAUUCCAGAUAAAAAAAAUUCAUAAUACAUAAAAUUCAUUCUGAAAAAGAAUAUUCGGAAUGUAUAACCCUAUUUAUUUAAGGGUAUUUUUGUCUUUUAAUUUAAAAUUGGGUGCAGUGAUAUGGUGCAGGAAGUAAUUGCCUUUGUUAUUUUGACCACCAGCUAUGCUUGUUUUUUUACAAAAAUCUGGGUCUAUUCACUUAGUCCAGCAAUUUUGCUAGCCACCACUAGUUGUUUAUAGUCUCACCCCCCCAGUCUCUUAAAAGAUCUGGGUCCAUUCGGCUAGCGCUCCUUUUCAAAAGACUGGGCACAUUCCACUGGGCUUGCAGCAUUGCUAUUUGCAGCCCAUGUUUCAAUAUCUGCACCGUGCUUUUCAGAACUGUGCCAUUCCACUGGCCCAGAAGCAUUUAUAUUUGCAUUCCAUGUUUGGCAGUUUCUUCUUGCACCCCCACAAUGUUUUGCAAAGAUCAAAUUGUCCCUAUUAAUCCUAAAAUGCACUUGAACUGUAUUUAUUUUUUGCAUUAUGGAUUAUGGAAUCCAGAAAAAUUUCGGAUUGACACUUCCGAUAAAAUUUCGAAUCCACCAAUUCGUAAUUCAAAAUAUUCAUUUCACAUUCAAAAAUCCAACAUUCAAAAAACGUAUUCCGGAUCCACCAAUCCAUAAUAGAAGUAUGCAUCUGGAUUCAGAAAUCUGUAAUUAAAAAAAAAAAACAUUCUGGAUCCACGAAUCCAUAACAGAAUUAGACUUCUGGGUUCAGCAAUCCGAGAAUCAAUAAUUUAUGCAAAAAUUGCUUCCGGAAUAUCCCCUCAUCCGGAAAAAAAAAUAUUCAGUUCUGGAUUGAUGAAUAUGUAGCACACUUCCAGAUCUCUAUUUCCGGUAACCACAGUGUCCUUUUUCAAAUAAAAGAUUAAGAUCAGUUUCUGGAUUUAGAAAAUUUUGGGGGAACAGGAAGAAAAAUGUAGGAGUGCAGGAAGAAGAAGCUUCCAUGUUUUUAUAUUCGUACCACCUUCCCUUAAGAUUCGGCUGGCCCAGAAGUUUUGCUAUUGCUACUCGUGUUUUUUAUAUUAGGAUGUUUCUUUGCACCCAUCAAAUAGGUAAAAUGACCAAAUGCACCAUCUAAUGCGUCUUUAUUCUGGAAAACACACUCCAAAAAAAUUAUUCCAAUAAAUAUAUUAUGGAACAUAUUAUAUACAUUCUGGAAAGUUUAUUUCAGAAAUUUUGUACCGAAAAACAUUUUCCAAAAUUUAAUGAAUUCUGGAAAGUAUCUUCUGAAAAAAAUCUUCCAAAAAAGUCAUUUAAAUUUGGGUAAAAUACUAAAACUGUUUUUUUAAAAAUUGAUUUGGUGCAGGAAGAAUUUUGACAGGUACAGGAAUACCGUUGUGUUUUUAAUAUCCGCACCACUUUUUUUGAAAAGCUUCCGUUCACUCGGUUGGCUGCCACUAUUUUUUAUUGAUAUACCUAUAAGGUUUGGUAGAUUCUCCUUACACCAUAUUAGUUUUGAUUGACACCCAACAUGUUCGUGUGAAAUGAUCAUAAAAUCCUCAAUAAAGUGAAAAUUAGCUUACACUUAAAGUGCACCCAGCAAUCAACACAGUGUCGUUCAUUUUUUUUUUUUGGACAUUCUCUUUCGGAAAUCUUACACACAUGCAGGCACGUUUAAGCGUCAUUUAGGCAACAUUUUUGAGCCACUACGGCAACGACAGAGAGCAAAGGCACCAGAGAAGGAGAAGCAUCGCAAAACGGUGAGUUUUCACAUUCCUUGUGGGUUCUGGAUAUUUUUGUUCGUAACUGUGUUAUGAGUUCCAGAUGUGUAUAUCCGGUUGAGCUCUGGAUAUUAAUAUCCGUAUGCACCGCGAAUGAGCAGAUCCAAAAGUAUUUUUUGUUAGGUUGGAAUUUUGAAAUCCAGAAUGUGUUUAUUAGAUGCGUUUUUUUUCUGCCCUCAAUGAUGUUCCUGCUAUCUCUAUCCUCAAUGAAGUCUCUUUCUAGUAUGUUGUUGAAGUGGACAUGACAUCUUGGUGGUUAAACUAUAUAGUACUGUAUGACUAAUAACUGAAUCACGUGAUUAUAUUUUCUUUCAUAAUUAAUGCAUUUUGAAGUAUAUAAAUGAUAAUAUAAAUAUUUUAGAAUAAAAAGCAAGUGUUCUAGUUUUAUGGAAAAGAUCGUAAUUUUUGUUUCUAUCAACUUGUUUCAUUAACGUUUUAGUAUUUUAUUUUGUAUUUAGUAUAUGACUAAGUUGAAAGUAAGUGAAGUUUAAUGAAAGGUUGUUUUAGCCAAAAAAAAAAAAAAAAAAAUAACUUUGAACUUGGAUUCUUAAAUUGUAAUAACUUGAUUUGGUUUAGAAGAAUUUUGGUUUGACACAUAGAAGGUUGAUUAAGAACAUUGGUUUACAUUAUUUCCUCAUGGAAUGGUUGUGGAAUAUUCCAAUACAUUUCAAUUUUUUUUUACAAAAUUUAGAAAUUUCUUUUACCUUUGUGACUCAGAUGUAUGCAUGCACUUACAUCUUUAUGACUGAACAAGUGUUUUAUUUGGUCUUUAGUUUUGGAGGACCAAUUUAUUUUUUAUUUGAUGGUAUUUUAUGAAUAGUAAGAUGGUGAGGACUAGAGGAAGAGGAUCUUCUAAUUCGAACCGUGUGCGACCAACUGCAUCUGUGAGAAGAAGGCAUGGUGGUCCUAAUACUUCAAUUCCAAAUGAGGACUUUGAAGAUUAUAUUGAACAAGAGGAAGUUGAAAUUGAUGACGAAGGUUAUCCAUGAGGGCCAGUGCAUAAGUCAUUACUGAUUAAUUAUGAAGAUCAUGUGGCCAGACAUUUAUGGGAUGGUUUGGUAAGUAAUGAACAUUAAUCGAGUGUCUUAUAAUUGAGUGUCUUAUGUAUGUAUUUAUUGAUGUUAUAUGUUGAUUAUUGUAGGAUCGUGGUGAGUUGAAGGUCGUUUCUCAUGGGAAAAAAAUAAAUAAGUUAGGAGCACCUCAUGAGCACAUAGAGGUUGCAAUAGACAUGUGUGGCUUAGGUGGUCUGGUUCAUGCAAGUUACGAGAGUUUAGACCGAGGAUUGCUUUGUGCAUUUGUAGAGAGGUGGCAUCCAGAGACAAACACAUUUCAUUUGCCUAUUGGGGAGAUGACCAUCACUCUAGAUGAUGUGUCAAAUUUGUUGUAUAUGCCCAUUGUCGCCCAAUUUUACCUGCACCAGGCGUUAGAUGCAGAUGCAAUGAAUGAUUUGUUGGUAGAAUCCCUACGUGUUGACCGUGGAGUUGCAUCUGAAGAGACACGACGUUGUCGGGGAGCUCAUGUGCGCCUUAAUUGGUUGAGAGAUGUGUACAAGGACGCAUGCUCAAGGAGGUAGUGGAUUGUAGCUACUAAAGCUUAAUUACUUCACCUUGUUGGUUGCACUAAGUUUGCCGACAAGAGUGCUCGUUAGUGAGUGUGAUAUAUCUUGGAUUUUUUGUCGAUCUGAAGCUGAUUGGGGGAUAUGCUUGGGCGGCAGCUGCGCUAGCCCACAUGUAUGAGCAAUUAGGAGAUUAUAGCUACGCAAAUAUUAGGCAACUAGUUGGUUAUGCAACAUUAUUGCGGGGUUGGAUUUAUGAGCAUUUCCCUUUUAUAGGUAUUAGACGUGUGCAAUCCCAAUAUUCUGAAGAGGAACCCCGGUGUAGGAAGUAUGAACCAGGGAAAGUUACUUCAAUUGUUGUUGUACGAUUGCAGCUAGAUACAUUGCCACCAACUUCCAUUCAUUUUUCCCCAUACGACGGGAACAGGGAAGAACGUCCAUUUGAGCAAAUAUCGUUAUGUUGAACAUAGGCUUUGAUGUCUCAAAAUCCAAGAAGAUUGCUUGAAGACUUUGUUGUUGCUUGUGUGUGUGGGUUUUAUGUAGUUUGGGUUUGUAAAUCCACUCAUAGAUUUGAUCCAAGGUUGCUUGAUUCAAGUUCUUUUGAAACAAGAUGUUUUCUAAAGAAAGUGGAAAAUCAACCUGUUGAAUUCUCGUUUCAACUGAUUGUAUUACUCUUAGUAAUUUUGAAAAGAAUUUGAAAAAGCUUGAAAUUGGUUGACUUUGUUAUCAAGCCAAUUCAACCGAUUAUUUCGUGUUUUCAAUCGAUUGAUUUUUGAAAAUUCUUAACAUAAUUCAGUUGGACUAAUUUAAUCUAUUUUGUUUGUUUUAAAACUGAUUUGGCUUUUGCAUUAAAUGCUUUUAACAACUAAUUGGAGUAUAUAUAAUUUGUUUUACGCUCCUAGUUGUUAUUGAUUCAUGAGAAUACAUUCAAAUAAACUUUUUCCAAGAUUGCUUCAAGCUUUGGAUUCUUUCUAAGAGUGGAAUAGGAUUGCUUUGUACUUCUUCUAUUCAAUUUGUGCUUGUAUCAGAUGUUAUCAUUCAGUUUCUCUCUUGACUAUUGUAUUUCUAUAAGAACUAUUGGUGUGCAGAUUCAAAGGGUGUUCUAAAUUUUGUGGUGUGAUUGCCAAAGGUGGUGUGUGUUCUUGAAGGGUUCAAGAUCACCACUUUGGUGUUUGUGUUGUAAUCAAGGUGUUUUAUUACUUAGUGGAAUACUCAGAGGUUUUUUGGGGACUGGAUGUAGCUCUUGGCUAAGAAUGAACUAGUAUAAAUUUCCUAUGUGGAUCUUUUUAUCCUUUAUCUCUUUAAAUCUGUUUUAGCUUGAAGUUUAUAAUUACUGUUAUAAACAACUGAUUGUUUCGCAAAAACAACCGAUUGAUUUUUUGUUGUUAAGUGAAAAUUAUUUUUAAAUCAGCUGAACAGAUUUCUAAUUAAUUGAUUCUCAUUGGCCUACACUAUACCUUCAAUAUUUGCGAAAAUCUUUGAUAAACAAUUCACUUCCCCUCUUGUUUAAGGCCUCCAUUUCUAACAAUUGGUAUUAGAGCUAGGUUCUUGAAAGUCGUUCAAGUUUUUUAUCCUAAAAUAUUUUUUCAUUGUUGAAAAACUACCCUUUGGAGAUGGUGCAUCUAUUAACAAACCACCUCUGUUUUGUGGUUUAAAUUACCAGUUUUGGAAGGUAAGGAUGAAAAUCAUUGUAGAAUCAAUUGAUAAAGGAAUUUGGGAUGCAAUUGAAAAUUUUCAUUUUGUUCCUAUGCUUAGAAAAUGAUAAAGUAAUUUCUGAAAAGCCUUGGUCACAAUGGACUGCGCAUGAAAGCAAACAUGCUCAAUAUGAUUGUAUUGCAAAUAAUAUCAUUACAUCUACCUUAAAUUCUGAUGAGUUUUUCAGGGUAUCACAAUGUGCCUCCGCAAAGGAAGUGUGGGAUACUCUUGAAGUCACUCAUGAAGGAACAAAUGACGUGACAAGAGCAAGGGAGCAUGCUCUUAUCCAAAAAUAUGAGAUGUUUAGAAUGCAAAAAGGGGAGACAAUUGCAGAAGUACAAAAGAGGUUUGCUCAUAUUGUCAACCACCUCAUGAGUCUUGGAAAAAUGUUUGAAAAAUAGGAACUCAACAUCAAGAUACUCAAGUGCCUAGACAGAUCUUGGCAGCCCAAGGUCACAACCAUCUUUGAAUCUAAAGGUUUAACAUCCUUGACAAUAACUUCACUGUUUGGGAAUCUUAGAGAACGUGAAUUGGAGAUGAAUAGGCUGAAUGUUAAAGAAAAUGAAGAUAAGCAUGUGAGAAACAUUGCCAUGAAGGUUGUUGGUCAUAAAAACUGUCAAGUCUCAAGUGAUGAUAGUGAUGGAGAUCAAGAUCAAGAAGAAAUAGAGGUCGAAGAUUAAGGACAAAAGGAGGUAGAAUCCGAAGUUGAAGAAGCUCAAGAAGUCAUUAGCUUACCUCGUAGGCUUACAAGGAGCAAGUUUAAGGAAUUAGGAAGUAGUGGUAGAUUGUUUUCUCUUUUUAUAAUGUCUUUUGUAUAAAAAGUAUAAUGUUUAAAUACUUAGUCUUUAGAAAGGUGCUUAGAGGGAAACAUUAGAUACCUCUUUUGUAAAGCAUCUUUAGGCUUUAGUUUAGAAUUUUCUAGAAGGUGACUCUUCAUAAGUCACUAGAGGCGUUAGCUUAGGAGACUCUUGGGUAGCUUAUGGUACAAGCUUUGUAAAGCUCAUGACCGGCCCUUGCUCCUAUAAAAGGAGGGCUUGGGUCCUUCUAAAUUCAGAUUGGAAAUUUGUAGUAACAAAACUCUCCCAAAUUGGUGAUUGAGUGUAGUGAGAACUUGUCUUCUCCUCUUCCUAGUCUCAUCUUGAGUACCUUGGUUCCCUCAAGUGGCAGCAAUUCACACUUAUCUUGGAGCAUUCACAUUUCAAGUGGCGUGUUCAUCAACCAAGAACUACAACCACAUAAGUCUUCUUUCUUCUCCAUCUAUUUCUUCCAUUUCCAUGCUCAUAUGAACUCCUAAACAUGUCUUAGGUUCCUUUCUUGCAAUUCUAUUCGAUGCUUUUGUUUUAAAUCAUAUUUUGUUCGGUUCAUCUUCUCCCUUGUUGGAAAUAAUCGGUUCUUCUUCAUUUUUUGUUGAUUUGUUCGGUGCAAUUCACUUGUUAUGCAAUUUAAUUGGUUCAUUUGCAUUCUUACAUCUUUUAAUCGGUUCAAUUGACAAGAAAUGGGUCUUCCAUGUGAGCUUUGGUGUUUGGCGCAAGUUUUGGCGAGUUCUUGAAACAUAGAACAUUGAUCCAUUUCUAUAAAAGUGCCUAUUCAAUCUCCAACUCAAGUUGAUUCCAUAAAAUGUUAAAUAAUCUUCUAUAUCUUGCUAUUGGAAUCAUAUCAGAUAGUGGUGGAGAAACCCUUAGCUUGCUGACCAGGAAAUUCAUCAAAUUCUUGAAGAAAAACAACAACAAGAAUCAACCAUCUUAUAGGUAUAACAACAAGAUUUCUUGCCCUCAUUGUGACUUGGAUUCUAACUCCAAGGGGGAGUAAUCAUUCAGUGCUUACUGAGGAAGAUCUGGUGUAUAUCUUCUGCAUCAUGAAGAAGAUCAAAAUCAAUUGGAUCCACAUCAUCAAAGAGCACAUGCAAAAGGCUAUGAGGUUAAGUGACUAUCACUAUCCGUAUGUUGUUUUGGUAUCUAAUUUUCUACUCUAUUUUGAAGUGAACCUUGAAGAUGAAACAUAUGAGUUGGUCAAGUCAACUCAAGAGUUGAACAAUGGAUCACUCAGCAAAAUGGGUUUUACCAAAGUAGGUGGCAAAUGGAUUAGCAAAGAUGGUGAUCUUGGUGCCUCAUCUAGUGCUGCUGCUGAUCUUGAACAAGAUGAACCUGUUGAUAUAGAUGUUCAACAUGAAGAUCCUCCUGAAGAUUAUCAAGAUGUUGGACCUAGUGCUGGGGCUGGAAAUCAAGAAGAAAGGAUGCAAACCAUGUCUCCUUUUGAGAGACUCAUGGUAAAUAGGCUUGAUAGCUUUGCGGAGAAUCAAAGAAAUCUCCAUGAUCUCUGUGUCAGUAAUUUCCAGAGGUUUGACAACAGGUUUGACAACAUGGAUGCACACUUCAUGACUCUAGAUGAACAGAUUGAAGCUGUCCAGAAUCAAAUCUAUGAUCUUCAAUAUGGUGAUGAUGAUGAAUGAAGAAAAACAACCGGUUGAUGUAUCGAAACAACCGAUUGUUUUUUGUGGUUAUAUCUGGUUUUCAAAUUUUCUUUCUUUCUGAUGUUGCUGCUUUAAUUCUGAUGUAAUCAAAACAAUUAUCUUGUUUUAUCUCUUCUUUUUUUCUAUUUGUGAAGACAAAUAGGGGGAGAUUUAUGCUGUUUGUGUUUGAUUUCGGUUUUUAUGUUUUCCUGCAAAACAGUUUGCUGUUUUUUUUAAUGUUGUUUACUCUGAUAUUAUGCUCUGAUUUUCUGUAUUUGUUUCUGUGCUAACCAAAUAUCAUAAGUUCUAUGUUUUGCUUAAAAUUGUAUCUUGCAGGAACUGCUUCAGAUUCAAUCAAGUACAACACAAGCAUCAGGGAUUUGUCUUCAUCAAAUAGGGGGAGAUUGUUGAACCAAGUGGUGUUCAAGCUUUGAAGAAUCCAAACCCUUUGAAGGAUGUUGAAGCCUUGGCUGAGCUUGUUGUUGCUGUGCUGUUUUAGUUAGGAUCUGGGGUAGUUUGAGUAUUGUAAUCCACCCUUUGAUUGGAUCCAAAGCAUAGGCAUUCUCAAUCUUUUUGAAAGAAAAAUAUUUUUCAAACUAAGUUAAAAAAAACCAAUUGUUUUGUCGAAACAACCGAUUGUUUUGUUGAAACAAACGAUUGUUUAUACUUAGAUGUUUUUAGAAAAGAUUGAAAACUGUUUUUCAAAUGGUUGAACUGUUAGAACCAAAACAACCGAUUGAUUCGAGGAAACAACCAAUUGUUUGUUUUGGUACCAUAACAGAAAAAGUAUUUUAUCUUUGGCUGAGUUUUAAAUGAUUUAACUGCUUACGCUCCAGUCUUUAAAUGCUUUGACCAAUCAUUAAAUGCAAUUAAAUAGUUUGUUAAGAUUUGAUAACAAACAACAUCUUUGAAUAAAUUCAGAAAAACAUAUUUGAGUAACAAGUUUUUGAAUAAAGUUUUAGAGUUUUUCAAAGAGCUGAGAUUGCUUAGAGGUGUGAUUGAUCAAAGUUUGUGGAAUAGGAUUCUGCUUGUAUUGAUUUCAGAUUAUCUUCUGUAACAAGUGUAAUCCUUGUACUCUGCUAAACAAGUUUCAUUUCUGUGUUUGCUGAGAUUGGCUGUGUGUUCUUGAGGGGAUCAAGAUCAACAAUCUUAGUGUUGGUGUGUUGGCCAAGAAGAGUGUGUGUCUUGUGGUGAUCAAGGUCACUUUCUUGGUUGUGGUGUAAGUGAUCAAGGUGUGAUUGCUUAAUGGAUUUCCUCAGAGGUUUUCUGAGAAGACUGGAUGUAGCUCUGGGUUUAGAGUGAACCAGUAUAAACAUCUGUGUGCAAUCUCUCUAUCCUUAAUCUCUUUAAAUUCAGUUUUGUUUGUUGUUUGCUGGUAUAAACAACUGAUUGUUUCUGUGAAACAACCGAUUGUUUUUUCUGGUAUUGCAGUUUUUGCUUGCUGUUUUGGCAAACUGAAUUCUUUAUCAAUUGUUUCUUGAGAGAAUUUCAUUCUUGACUUAAAAGUUUGCGAAAACCCUCUUUAAACAAUUCACCCCCCCUCUAGUUUAAAGCCAUCCAUUUUAACACAAAGUCCCUCAUUGAUCUGAGCAAUGGCUAGAACUCCUUCAUCGGCAAAAAGAAUGAAAACCAGGGUUGUUAGAAGUUGUGGAAAGAUUGAAGAGUGGUUCUCAGGAGAAUCAGAACAAAUCAACAAAUUUCUACUUGAAACAAGUAGGAAAACUAUCAACAAACCCAAGCUUGUAUCCUUCAUAUGGAUGAAGCCACAAAAUUUGUCCACUGUGCAAAGUCUCCUCAAGGAGCAAAGAUUGAAGAGAUUCCUUGAGCUUACUGGAAACAUAUAUCCAGAUUUGGUGAAGGUAUUUUGCACUAAUCUUCAAUUUGGUGGUGACUCACUUGUGUCUCAUGUGAAGGGUGUAAACAUGGUCAUUACAAAUGAUGUAUGGACUGCUGUGGCUGGAUUAAAGUUCUCUGAAAUCAGAAUCAACAGAGGAAACCUUUGAGUAGGGGAAGAUUUCAACAAAAUCCACUUUUACAAAAGUUGUCUCAAGGAUCCCUAUUCCAAAGUGAGGAAUUUUUCAGUUGGUGGGCUAAAGCUUGAUGAAAGGCUCAUAGCUUUCAUUGUGUCUUGGAUCAUCACACCAAGGGGGAGCAAUCACUCCACUCUUUCAUAAGAGGAUUUUUUUUUAUCUAUUGCAUCAUGAAUAAAGUGAAGAUCAAUUGGAUCCAUACCAUCAAAGAACAUAUGCAAAAAGCCACAAGGUUAAGUGACUUUCACUACCCUUAUGGAAUUUUGAUAUCUAAACUACUGCACUAUUUUGAGGUAGAUAUUGAAGGAGAACUAGCUGAAAUCAUCAAGCCCUCAAGUGAGAUCAACAAUGGAUCCCUAAGCAAAAUGGGAUUUACCAAAAUGGUGGGAGAUGGGUGACCAAGCUGGCCCAAGUGGAAUCAAUGAUGAAGAUGAAGCUAUUGAACCUGCUGCUACUGAUUAUUCUGGACCUAACACUGAUGUUGGGGGAGAAAGAAUCACCUCAAUGACAUCCUUUGAAAGACUUAUGCUCAACCGGAUGGAUAGCUUUGCAACAACAAAACAAUCUCUAUGAGAUGUGCCAAAACCGAUUUCAGCAAUUCGAUCAGAACUUCCAGGGUCUAGAUGCAUGUUUGGAAAUCUGAAUGAACAGAUUGAGGUCAUACAAAACCAGAUUUCAAAUCUAUAGUUUGGCAGGGACCAUAGUCCUUCCUUUUAAGUGUACCAGCUUUCUUUCAUGAACGCUUUAUCUUGUUUCUUAUAUGUUGUCAUUUAAUCCUUUCUUUUGUCUAUUUGAAAAGACAAAUAAGGGGAGAAUUAGUUGGUGCUCUGUGCUGUAAUCCAAGAAGAUUGCUUGAAGACUUUGCUGAUGCUUGUGUGUGUGGGUUUUAUGUAGUUUGAAUUUGUAAAAUCCAUUCAUAGAUUUGAUCCAAGGUUGCUUGAUUCAAGUUCUUUUGAAAAAAGAUGUUUUCGUAAGAAAGUGGAAAAUCAACUUGUUGAAUUGUCGUUUCAACCGAUUGUUUUACACUUAGUGUUUUUGAACAGAAUUUGAAAAGGCUUGAUAUUGGUUGACUUUGUUGUCAAGCCAAUUCAAUCGAUUGUUUCGUGUUUUCAAUUUGUUGAGUUUUGAAAAUUCUUAACAAAAUUCAGUUGGACUGAUUAAUCUGUUAUGUUUGUUUUAAAACUGAUUUGGCUUUUGCAUUAAAUACUUUUAACAACUGAUUGGAGUAUAUAUAUUUUGUUUUACACUCCUGGUUGUUAUUGAUUCAUGAGAAUACUUUCAAAUCAACUUUUUCCAAAAUUGCUUCAAGCUUUGGAUUCUUUCUAAUAGUGGAAAAGGAUUGCUUUGUACUUCUUCUAUUCAAUUUGUAAUUGUAUCAGGUGUUAUCAUUCCUUUUCUCUCUUGACUAUUGUAUUUUAGUAAGAACUGUUGGUGUGGAGAUUCAAAGGGUGUUCUGAAUUUUAUGGUGUGAUUGCUAAAGGUGGUGUGUGUUCUUGAAGGGUUCAAGAUCACCACUUGGGUGUGUGUGUUGUAAUCAAGGUGUUUGAUUGCUUAGUGGAAUACUCAGAUAUUUUCUGGAAACUAGAUGUAGCUCUUGGUUAAGAGUGAACCAGUAUAAAUUUCAUGUGUGGAUCUUUCUAUCCCUUAUCUCUUUAAAUCUGUUUUUGCUUGAAGUUUAUAAUUGUUGCUAUAAACAACUGAUUGUUUCCAAAAAUCACCCGGUUGAAUUUUUGUUGUUUAGUGAAAACUGUUUUUAAAUCAGCUGAACAGAUUUCUAAUUGAUUUAUUCUCAUUGGCCUUCACUAUACCUUCAAUAUUUGUGAAAAUAAUUCAUAAACAAUUCACCCCCUCUUGUUUAAGGCCUCCAUUUCUAACAUGUUAUUCUCCGGUUAUUUGAGGCUUGGAAAGUGGAGACAAUUGCUUUUGCCGAAACGUGUUCUUCGUCAGUAUGGAUAUGUGCAGAUCAUCCCUCGGCACCCAUCUGUAGUUAAAGAUGGCGAUCUGACUACAAAUGAAGUGGUCUGGCAAUGGUUAAAUUUCAAUGAUUAUGUCAUACAGGAUAUGGACGUAGCACCUUAUCUUGGCGCUUGCCUUCAACCGUACAUGGAGUGGUUUCGAAGUAUCACAUCCAUAUUUCAUUGACAUGGCUGAGGAUGAUCGUCUUGUAGUCAUACCUUCAAAAACACUUGCCCACGGACCAGUGGCAACGCAUCCUCAAGAGACACAUCCUGAAACAUCCUGCUUUGGUAUGUAUGAACCAUUAAUAACAUUUUCAUUCAUGUUAAUUUUUGUCUAAUAUUAUGACAUUCAUGGUUGUAGGGUAUUUGUCGUAGAAUUAUAGAGACAUUGCAACCAUUACUUAAUCAUGGUGAUGUGGUGGAGGGUAACCCUGUGUGGGAAGGAAUACAAGUAGCAUUGAUGUUAGCACGAGAAGCGACCAAUGACAGAGUUGUGUGUGUCAGAAGACAAUCACGUAUGAAUGAUUGAUUAUGUAUUAGGACUAUUAUUGUAAUAUUUUUUAUCCAUGAACGAUGUUGUUGUUUGAACUUGAAUUUUAAGUAUUUUGACCUUAUGAAUACCUUUUAGGGUGUGUUUGGAUUAGAGGGUGUGGGGGAGUGGAAAGUUGAGGGUGAGUGGGAGUGGAAGUGUGAAGAAAGUGUGAAGAAAGUUGAGGUUGUUUGGAUUGGGGUAUGUUAGAGUGGAUGUGUGAAGAAAGUUUAUUGGAAAUUGUGAAUGGUGUGAUAGUUGUGAGAGUAUUUUAAUAUAUUUUGAAUAGUAAAAUUUGUAAGAUUACAAUUUUACCCUUUAUAUAAAAAAGAAUAAAUAAUGAUUAAUCCUAUUUCAUAUUUUAGUUAAUUAUAAUUUAAAAUUAAAGUAUAAUUAUAUUAUUUAACAUUUUAUUAAUUAAGAAUUAUUUUUUAUUUAAGUUAAUUUAUUUACAUAAUUUUAAUAUUAUAAAUGAUUUUAUAAAUUAUGUUAUGUUAUAUACAUACAAAUAUAAUUAAAAACAAUAUGAUUAUGUAAAUAAGUAGCAUGAAAAGUAACAUAAAACCUUAACAAUAACAAUGUCAACGUCAAAAAUAACAAACACAAUUCAUCAAUGUUCAACCUGAAACUUAGAAAUAAAAAUAACAAUGACAAUAACAUAAUAAUAACACACUCAAUGGCCUUGAUGACGUCCAAUGUCAGCCAGAGUAACCUUCAUUCUGUCCAUUCGGGUAUUCAUCUUUUCCAUGCCGGACAAAAUUUGAUUUAACAAUUCCCUUUGAGUGGGGUUUUCCUCCUCAGGUUGACCACUUUCAUCAUCUUGUGGUGGCAAUUCAUCCUCUUCAUCAUCUUCUUCGUUUGCAUGUUGCGGUCUACCAAGUUGCCAUAUGCCAUUGACCUGGAAUAUAUUUAAUUUUGUCAUACUUUUUUUGCCAAAGUAAUGAUUCCAGCCUAGCAUUGUUGCUUGUUCAUUGGACAAGUCAAAGCCAUACACCUGCAGAUCCUCGUUAUCAAAUUUGCAUAUGGGAGAGACAUCUUGUUAUCCCGGCAUUUGAUGAUCUGUUGCAUUAUGUAAUGAGGCCAAUUAAUGCGUACGUUAUUCUUGAUUAACCACAUCAUGAAAAUAUCUUCAUUCAGCAGUUGUGCAUAGUUGCUUCCUGAGGGCACAAGAUAUGCACCCAUGUGUAAUGCAACAGUCGGUCAUUCAUCUUCAGACUACCGACAUUUUUCAGAUUUUCACCUUGAACAUCUUCACGAAUCAUGGUGGAUAGUGCUAGUGCUCAACCAAAAUUCACUUCCUCAGGGAUCGUCCCGGGGUUAACUUAAGACUGUCAUACUGUAGAUGAGCAAUGGUCAUCCAAUCCACUUCUUUGAUGUGUAUCAUUUUUCCGCAAAUCUCAAUGGCAAGGUGACCAGCAGGUGUGAAUUUUGCAUUUGUAUAAAAAACCCUUACCAAAUCCUCAUAAUAUGGAAGAUUAAUUCCGAGGAAAGGUUGUAAACCUUGCCAAUUGAGAAGAUUUUGGAAUUCAAAUCCUGGACCAGCAAAAAAUGGAGUAUUCAUCACUUUUGGUGGUAAUACUGUUCUUGCGUGAAAAUUCUUUUCAAAAACCACCAUUUGACGCCUGGUACUGAAGUAUCUUGAAUAAUCAAGAACUUCUGGAAUCCUCGUUGGUGGAGGAGGAACGUCAACAUCUUCUGCUGGAGAUUUACCCUUACGGGUUCUGUUACGUUUGUGGGAUGAUGAUGCCAUCUAUAAUGAAAACCUAUCAAAAUAUUUUUAAAAUUUAUAAUUUCAUUCUGUCAAAAUAUAUUUUUUUAAAUCUGUUUAAUAAACAAUUCAUUUUGAAAUAAAUAAUUACUUUCUACAUUUAUAAUUAAAAUAUCAAUUAUUUGGAUUCUGUAAACUUAUUUAUCUUUGUAAUAAUUUAUUAUCAAUCCUAAAAUAAACUUUUUCAACUUUUUAAAUUACUAUAACAUUUUUUUUUAACAUUUAAUUCUAACACCAAUAAUUUAUGUAAAAUACAAAUUAAAAAAAAAUAACUCAAAAUGAUAUUUCUACUUUAAACUUUUACUGUUAUUUUUAAUUAAUACAACAUUUUUAUAAUGUUUUUUAUUAUAACAUUACUAAAUUAUGUUUAAUCUACAAAAAUAAAAACCCUAUCAAAAUAUUUUUAAAAUUUUUAAUUCCAUUCUGUCAAAAUAAUUUUUUUUAAAUCUGUUUAAUAAACAAUUCAUUUUGAAAUAAAUAAUUACUUUCUACAUUUAUAAUUAAAAUAUCAAUUAUUUGGAUUCUGUAAACUUAUUUAUCUUUGUAAUAAUUUAUUAUCAAUCCUAAAAUAAACUUUUUCUGACUUUUUAAAUUAUUAUAACAUUUUUUUUAACAUUUAAUUCUAACACCAAUAAUUUAUGUGACAUACAAAUUAAAAAAAAAUAACUCACAAUGAUAUUUCUACUUUAAACUUUUACUGUUAUUUUUAAUUAAUAUAACAUUUUUAUAAUGUUUUUUAUUAUAACAUUAAUAAAUUAUGUUUAAUCUACAAAAAUGAAAACCCUAUCAAAAUAUUUUUAAAAUUUUUAAUUCCAUUCUGUCAAAAUAAUUUUUUUAAAAUCUGUUUAAUAAACAAUUCAUUUUGAAAUAAAUAAUUACUUUCUACAUUUAUAAUUAAAAUAUCAAUUAAAAAUAGCACUUAUAAAAUAUCAAUUACUUUUUAAAAAACCUACAAAUUAAAAAUUUCUAUUUCCACUUGUAAAAAUAUUCAUUUUAAAUACAUUUAUAUUCAUAAACAAAUUAUAUUACAAAACCAUAAUCAUCCAAUCAUAAAUAUAAAACAGAAAUAAAAAAAUUAACUUUACAUAAAAAAAAUUAAAAACCUGAAGAUAAGCAACAAUAGCAGCACAAGGAUAACUUUGGAUGAAGAACCGUGCCUGAAAAUCACAUAAAAAAAAAUUAAGAAACAUAGAAUUCAGAAAAAUAUAGAACAUAAUCGAUUAUGCUCUCAGUUAUACAGAAAGGAUAAUCGAUUAUCCAGGCAUAAUCGAUUAUCUUCGUAGGCAAAAAUAAAGCAUAAUCGAUUAUGGCACACAAUAAUCGAUUAUGGUCAUUUUUCAACACUUCACAUAAUCGAUUAUGCCUGUAAAUUUUUACAGAUAAUCGAUUAUGUUAUUUGAAAAAUCGAUUAUCUGCCUCAUAAUCGAUUAUCUUUCUGGUUCAAAUUGAGGCAUAAUCGAUUAUGCACCAUUGCAGAGAAAAAGCUCUAACCUCAGAACGAACCCAGAUGAACCAGAUUAAUCCAGAUGAAUCACAACAACAACCCCAGGACGUGAGAUGAACAAGGUAUCCUAACAGAAACGAAGAUGGCUUAUAGGAAUCUCUCCAACCACACUACAAUGCACUCUCUAUGGCUCGUAUCUUCGGUUUUCUGUGAAUGGAGGAAGGAAUUCAUGCUCUUAUAUAGCCAGCUUCACGCCCACCUACCUCACCCACUCACCCACUGCAUUCACUCUCCUUUCACAGAUUCACAGAGAGUCAAACGAUUCCUGAGCCAAGUCAGGAAUCUCAUGGCUUCAUGUGGCAUGCAUGCAGAGGGCGCAGGGGCACUGUUUCUCUUCAUUCCAGCAAAAGCAAGGGCAACGUUGUAACUUGCUUGGGAUGACUUGACACUCCCACUCUACAGUGCAACUUUCUCUUCAUCUUUGCGCAGAUCAACAUUUCACUCAAAUUGGUCUUUCCUUCCACACUCGCCCGCUAGCAUGCAUGGAUCCAAACGGGGUGCUGUUGUGACUUCCGUCGUCGCCAACAAUGGCACCCCUGGAUCCAAACGAAGCCUUAAUGUUGAUUUUACUUAUAUUCUUUAAAUUGGUUUGGUUUAGUGGGUUUUAGUCCAUUAAAAGUAACAAAAUCAUCACACUGCCAAAAAAAAAAGGAUAAUUGGCUUCCAUAUAUAUAUAUAUAUAUAUAUAUAUAUAUAUAUAUAUGAUGGUGCCUUCCGGAUAAAGAUGUUUGUAAUCAAAGAGUGCUAGUUCCAGAUGACAAUAUCCAUAGGCAAAACUGACACUUUUGGAUGCCAAUAUCCAUAGGCAAAGCUAUCACUUCCGGAUGUUAGUAUCUGUAGGAAAAGUUGACACUUCCGGAUGCCAAUAUCCAUAGCCAAAUAUGUGAUUUCUGAAUAUUGGCAUCCGUAAGCAAAUAUGUGACAAAGACAAAAUUGGAUUUAAAAAGUUACGUCGAGUGCAUAUAAAAAAUGAUAUGGUGCAGGGAGAAAUUGCCACAAGAUUUUAUUUGUUUUAAAAUAACAUUGGGUCAUUAAGUUGGCCCAACAUUUCUCUUAUUUGCCACCUAUUUUUCACAUAUACAAUCACCAACAUAUUUUUGUGUGAAAAUGAAAAUAAAAAUAUAAUUUUGGUGGUAUGUUUAAUUAAAUUUUAGAUAUUUGUAUGACCAUGUGUCAUGAUAUUUAAUACAAUUAUUUGAAUAUUUAUAUGAUCGUAUGCAUCUUAUACUCUUUCUAAAAAAAGUUAAAAUAUAAUUUUUCUAAAUAAAAUUCACGCAAACUGUUAAGAACAUCAGUGUAUAAUUUACACUACCUCCACUUACUAUUUCAUGUCACCUUAAAUUAGUGUCAAUUUUAAUUGAUUAUUAUUGUAUAAUGGAAUGAUUCAGUACCAAAGAUAUUCAAAUAACAGAACUGGGAUAGAAAAGUCAAAUAUAAUUCAAAAGUGAGAUAACUAAUUGUCAGCAGUUUAAACAGUCAAGAACAACAAAUGACAAGAUUUGGCAACUAGUGAGUUUUAAAAAAAAAAAAUCAAGAGGUUGAUGGAUAAAUUAUGGUUAACUAAAUAUCACACUAUAAAUUUUAAGGGAUAAAAUAGAUUAAUAAAAAUGUAAAAUAAUAUUACAUAUUCAUCCAAUCCAAUGACAAUAUUAUAUGAAACUGAAUUUCAUUUCAUCAAAUUAGUUAUCUGAAAAUAAAAAGUCCUAUGCAAAAUGUUGUCGGGCAUACUUAUUGAAACAAAAUAGCACAUUCUUCCUCAAAACAUUAUAAUUUCGAAACUUUAAGACUUGUGGUUCCAAAAAGAGAAUGAAAACACUCUUCUAACUGAUACCAAAAGAAAACACAGAAAAGACAAAGCAACAUUAGAAAUUUCAUUCCAUGAUCCCCAAGUCUUUCCAGAGCAAUUUAGCACAUUCUUCCUCAAAACAAUGCAAUUUCGAAACUUAAGACUUGUGGUUCCAAAAAGAGAAGGAAAACAGUCUUCUAACUGAUACCAAAAGAAAAGACAGAAAAGACAAAGCAACAUUAGAAAUUUCAUUCCAUGAUCCCAAGUCUUUCCACUUCAUGCUUGAUAGAUUCUACGGAGGAAUUCCCAAUAAUAGUUCAACAUUGUCAUUCUGAAAGUAGGGAGAAACCUUUCUAGCAUUGUCACUCUCAAAUAAAGUUUUCCGACUAUUAGAUUUUUUCUUCUCGGAUUUAAUACCAAUGGAUUUGAAUUCAUUUCCAUUUUCUUUCAGCUGAUCCUCAAAUAAGUCUCUCGAAGCAGCAGAUAAAUAAACAGAAUCAACAUAACCUUCAUGUCCCAGCUGAUCAAUCUGUACAGCACAACCAUCUUCCUCCAGUUUAUCCCCCAACAACUCUCCAGAGGUAGGUAAUGCAAUAGGAUUAGACUGGCUUUCCUUAUCCAAUGAUUUGGCAUUAAUCUUCUCUGCACUAUCAUCAUGAAAAUAUGGUGAAACAUAUUGAACACCAACUGGAACUGUAUGUUUGUGAACUUCAGGUCCCAUUUUCUCGGGGUUGAAUUUACUGGUUGCAGCGCCAUCACUAUUCUCCC
rnacentral:lncRNA from 1 species